rnacentral:rRNA from 1 species
UACGUAGGGGGCAAGCGUUGUCCGGAUUCAUUGGGCGUAAAGAGCGUGUAGGCGGCCAGGUAGGUCGGUUGUGAAAACUGGAGGCUCAACCUUCAGAGGUCGACCGAAACCAUCUGGCUAGAGUCCGGGAGAGGAGAGUGGAAUCCCUGGUGUAGCGGUGAAAUGCGCAGAUAUCAGGAAGAACACCCGUGGCGAAAGCGGCUCUCUGGAACGGUACUGACGCUGAGGCGCGAAAGCUAGGGGAGCAAACGGG